GACGAACGCUGGCGGCGUGCUUAACACAUGCAAGUCGAACGGUGAAGGGACCGGUUUUUGCUGGUUCUGGAUGAGUGGCGAACGGGUGAGUAACACGUGAGUAACCUGCCCCCUUCUUCUGGAUAACCGCAUGAAAGUGUGGCUAAUACGGGAUAUUCUGCGCCUGCUGCAUGGUGGGUGUGGGAAAGAUAUUGUUUCGGUGGGGGAUGGACUCGCGGCCUAUCAGCUUGUUGGUGGGGUGAUGGCCUACCAAGGCGGUGACGGGUAGCCGGCCUGAGAGGAUGGACGGUCACACUGGGACUGAGACACGGCCCAGACUCCUACGGGAGGCAGCAGUGGGGAAUAUAGCACAAUGGGCGCAAGCCUGAUGCAGCGACGCCGCGGGAGGGAUGGAGGCCGUCUGGUUGUAAACCUCUUUCGCCAGUGAAGCAGGCCUGUCCCUUUUGUGGGUGGGUUGACGGUAGCUGGAGAAGAAGCGCCGGCUAACUACGUG
rnacentral:rRNA from 1 species